GGGCCACUGGCUCAGCAGUAGAGUACAUGCUUUGCGUGCAGAAAGUCACAGGUUCAAUCCCUGGCAUCUCCA